UAUGAACCUCUACUGCUUCUUUGUACCUCUAGCCACCUCUGCUUUAGCUUUAGUCCGUCACCCCCGUCUGGUGGCAGCAGAUAUCAAAUUCCAUCACACUUGCACUUGCAUCAUUGCCUGUUCCACUUCGGCAGUUCCCCCAACUCGAAUGAUUCGGCGCAUGAUGUGCUCCAGCCGCUCAUUAGAUCCCGGUCCUCCACUUGUCUAGUAUCCACCUGCGAGUUGGCUUUUUCGGAGUAGCGAGCGCUUAUCUCGAGUCGAAUGGCUGCUGUUGUAGUUUGGUGUUAGAGACGACUUUGGGGGCUGCAUUUCCAUUGUUUUUGUUGUGCACUACCAACCACCUGAUCUGGACGCGGUACUCUCCCCAUACCUCCUCUCCCCAUCAACCUGCCAUCAAUUUCAUGGGAAAAAAAACAUUAAUACUGGCAUUCAUGCGUAGGGCAUGGAAUACCACUCAGCCGCAUUACAGAAAAAGAAAUUAUCUAUCACUCACUUGUUGAUUGUUGCAGCAUUUGCGUGGCUCCAGUGCAACAGGGAUAGUGAUUGCAAGGAAGUGCUCAAGCUGGGAGGCGUCCUC
rnacentral:lncRNA from 1 species